GACGAACGCUGGCGGCGUGCCUAAUACAUGCAAGUCGAGCGGACUUGGAGGAGUGCUUGCACUCCUGAGAGUUAGCGGCGGACGGGUGAGUAACACGUAGGCAACCUGCCCUCAAGACUGGGAUAACUACCGGAAACGGUAGCUAAUACCGGAUAAUUUAUUACAUAGCAUUAUGUGAUAAUGAAAGACGGAGCAAUCUGUCACUUGGGGAUGGGCCUGCGGCGCAUUAGCUAGUUGGUGGGGUAACGGCCCACCAAGGCGACGAUGCGUAGCCGACCUGGGAGGGUGAACGGCCACACUGGGACUGAGACACGGCCCAGACUCCUACGGGAGGCAGCAGUAGGGAAUCUUCCGCAAUGGGCGAAAGCCUGACGGAGCAACGCCGCGUGAGUGAUGAAGGUGUUCGGAUCGUAAAGCUCUGUUGCCAAGGAAGAACGUCUCAUAGAGUAACUGCUAUGAGAGUGACGGUACUUGAGAAGAAAGCCCCGGCUAACUACGUG
rnacentral:rRNA from 1 species